GGCCCCGCCGGGAGGGGAGGAGCGGCGGCGGCGGCAGCAUGGCGGAGGCGGAGGCGCCGCGGGUGGGCGCGUGGCUGCCGGUGCUGGUGGAGCAGGUGGUGAACGACACGCUGGUGGUGACGCUGCGCUGCGGAGAGCGCCGCUUCGCCGGCGUGCUGCUGGACUGCAGCAAGAAGUCCGGGCUGUUCUGUCUGCCCUCCUCCUUCCCAAAGCCCGAGGACCCUCCUGCCGCUGCCUGCGCCGUUCCUGCUGAUCCCACGCGCGGUGAGAUGCAGCCGCAGCCCGGGGACGACCAGGUGCCGCCGCUGCUGCCCGCGCCGCCCGGCGUUGUGCCGCCAUACCCGCCCUACUUCGAGGGAGCGCCGUUCCCGCGCCCGCUGUGGCUGCGGCACACCUACAGCCAGUGGGUUCCGCAGCCGCCGCCGCGGGCCAUCAAGAGGACGCGGCGACGUUUGUCGCGGAACAGAGACCCGGGACGCCUGAUCAUGAGCACCAUCAGGCUGCGGCCCAGGCAGGUGCUCUGCGAGAAGUGUAAAAAUACCCUGAACCCCGAGGACGAGAACGCGGCGGGGCAGAACGCUAAAACCAGGAGGAAGCUGGGCGUUCAGGACAAGGAACAGAAAAAGCACAGCGACUCUGAGUGCCUGGAGAAAAGGAACAAAAGAGAGAAGAGAGAGGAUGACAAGUUUGCCGGGGAGCUGGUGCAUCGCACGCCAGUUAUCAAAAUAUCCUACAGCACGCCGCAAGGGAAAGGCGAGGUGGUGAAGAUCCCCUCCCGGGUGCACGGCUCAGUGAAACCGUUCUGUCCUGAACAGCUGCUGCAGAACAGAGAGGAGGACCGGGAGGAGGUCGGAGAUGCUGAGCAAUGUCAAGAAACCAAGGGCUUCACGGACAAGGCAGUGGGCAGCCAGCUUGCUUCCAUCCCCAAACUGAAGCUGACGCGGCCAGUGCAUCCCAGUGCUGAUGUCCCGCCUCCAAAGAUCCGGCUGAAGCCCCAUCGCAUCAACGACGGCCAGAGCGUUUCUAUCUAUAAGGCAGAACUUAUCGAUGAGAUAAACGUCCUUCAGAACAGCAGGGAGACGAAUCCCAGUGCGUUUUACGCCAGUGAAUCGGCAGACAGAGGUUUGGCCGAGAUCUCUUCGGGGAGUUCGGGUGAAGAUGACGACUUUAAAAGGUUUCCCCAAGGUAAAGACGGACACGAAAACUUGGCUUUCCUUAUGAAUUACCGGAAGAGAAAAGCGGAUUCUUCUAGUUUGUCAGUGUGUAGUAAUGACAGUCUAGACGAAUCCAAGUCUUCUAGUUCGGAGGUAACAUCACCAGAAAUGUGUGACUUUUUACCUGGUGAUGAUGCGUCUGUCUCUUCAUCUUCAAAAGAUGAGCGUAAAAUUGUGCCGCCCUUGACGGUUAGGCUGCAUACCCAAAGCGUGUCUAAAUGCGUCACUGAAGACGGAAGGACUGUGGCAGUGGGGGAUAUUGUGUGGGGUAAAAUUCAUGGAUUUCCGUGGUGGCCGGCACGCGUUCUUGACAUAAACCUUAGCCAGAAGGAAAAUGGGGAGCCUUCAUGGCGGGAAGCCAAAGUGUCGUGGUUUGGUUCUCCAACGACUUCAUUCUUAUCUGUUUCAAAACUUUCUCCUUUCUCUGAAUUUUUCAAACUGAGAUUUAAUCGCAAGAAGAAAGGGAUGUAUCGCAAAGCCAUCACAGAGGCUGCCAAGGCGGUGGAGCACCUGACUCCAGAAAUAAGAGAUCUCUUAACACAGUUUGAAACAUAACUGUGCCACCAGUAUCAGGUGAGGCACUGCUGUGCUGAGGGCUGGGGCAGCUGUAUGCCAGUGCGAGGAGGAGAAGGAGGAGGAGAGAAAGAGGAGAAGGAGGAGGAGAGAAAGAGGAACCUCCGUGACACAGAUAAGCCCCAACGUCCCUGCCCAGCCCAUGUGCCCUUCCCUGCUCCCACACCCCCUUGCCCAAGGCCAGGGCCAGUUUCAUUCCAUCCCAGUGGUGCUGCAGGAUCCCAUCACAGCCCUUGCCUACCGCAGCUGUGCCUGACCCAACGCAGCAAUGCCCGUGUCGCAGGAGGCUGCUGCCAGGCACUGCCAGCAGCCACACCACCCAGGCACAGCAGGCAGUGCCCUGCCAAACCGUGGCCUUGCAGCCCCUGCCCUGUCCUCCAUCAGCACAGCUCAGUGUGCCCAGGCUGGCUGUGCUGCUACCGUGAUUGCUGCAAUGGGCAUCGAGGCGGGUGGGCUGCACUGUGGACAGUGGGCGCUGGCUUUGCAAUGCUGGACAUUUGCCUGGUGAACCCACCUGCUCUAAUUCUCUACACCUACUUCAUGUUUCUGUAGUUUCCGUAGCUUUUUUUUUUUUUUUUUUCACUGAAAGACUGAAUUUAUCUAAAUAUGUUUUUUGAGCCCCAGCAAUGCAUUUGCCAUGGUUCAUAGUAUCACUGCUCAGUGUCAGUUCCUCUUCAGUACAAAGGAAUCCCUCUGCAUACCUUUUCUGUGUUGGCUUUCCCCGCUCUGCAGAACUAAAGCCCUUGGAGAAUGUCAGAGAACGGCCUUGCUGCGUUGGAGACUGGCACAGCACGAGGCUCUGCACACGGAGGCCAGGUGGGCGAUGUGGCUCCUGGGUGCAGGGAGGAAGCAGUAACCGAUCUGCAAAGCUGCGUCCUGGGCAUCGUGCCGCCUCACAGCAUGACACGGCGAUGCAUGGCCACCAACAUCCGCUGGGUGGCCCUGCAGCUGGCAGCGUUACAUCAGACACCUCCAGAACAUCUUCUUUGGAAGCUGGUGUUAAGUGAUGUUGGAAGCAUCUCCUCUGCAGGAGCAGCAUUUUCAUCCUUCGCUGUGCAGCACGUUGUGAGUCUUUGUGAGCCCAUGCAGGCACAGGUGAAUGGGAUCCCAGUUAUACCACAAAUAAUGCAAAAGUUGUAAAUGGUCCAUGAUAUGAGCGUGCUGCACCACGCUGCUCAGGAAGGUCUGCCAGGAAGAUUUGCUUAAGCAGAGCUGUAAUUUGUUGAAAUAACACUGCCCAUCAGAGACCAAUAUAGCAGGUUAACUGUAGCAGGAAGACUGGGAUUCUGGCUGGCUGUGGAGCACGAACAGCCUGCCCACAGGUGGAAGCAGCCAGCAUGUUCCUCAGUGCUUCUGCCAAACUAAAUGAGCAGCAGUGGUGAGAAACACGAUCUCCUCGGGGGAGGAGGCAGGAGAUGUGCUCCCGUUGCUCAGCAGAUUUGAAAGAGCAGCAGAGAUCAAUGCUGGCUCGUCUGUCACAGUGUACAUCAUUGCUUUCCCAUGUUUCAAGGGCCUGGAGCUUUUUUGAGAGCUCUGCAUAGGAUGAAAAUUUUCCCCAUAGAAACAACUCAACCUCACAUAAAACUAUCCAGCAUUGUCACGUUGGGUUUGGGACUCACAGAACCUGAGUUCAAGCGUUUUGCCAACAACCCCCUCUGCAGUUUUAGGUUGCACACUUAUGCUGUUACCUGUUGCUCACCUAUGGAGGUGCAGAAGGUGUGCCUCCAGCAGCAGGGAGGGUUGCUGCAUGCAGUGGCUGUGAGCUGGGGGGUCGGGAUGCAUUCACAGUGCACUUCUGUAGCACGGUGCCAAAGCCCAACAUCUGCUUCCCAGUGAUUUUUUCCAUUCGCAAUUGAGUUAUUUCUCAUCUGUGACUGCAGAACUCGGGUGUUUACCAGCACCACGUGCUCAAAAAGACAUGGAUCUACAUUUUUCAGAUUCUUUCUGUGAAAUAUGACCCUGUUUCCAGACAGGAUGCAGUGUUGGCAGAAGUGCAGAUUUCUCACAUGAGGAACAGAGCGUGCAGGUUUCAGGGCUGCCGUGCCGCACUGUGGAUCUGAAGCACCACACACCAAGAGAGCUUUGCAUGCUGCUGGGGAACAGGAACCACAGAGCCCAUGGAUAACCUGAUCCCGAGUCAGGUAAUGCCUCCUGGGGCAACACUUCCACAGCUGUGAUGAGAUACAUAUACGGCUUCAUAUAUAUAGCAGUGUAAGGUUCCACUGUCAUUUAUUGGCAAGUGCAAAUAAAUCUGUUUCUUUGGCCACAGGAGCACACAGGGCAGCUGGAGAGGCUGUAAAAUAACUCCUGUGCAGCCAGAUCCCAUGCAGUGAAUUCUCACAGCCCACACAGAGCUGUUUCCCAGUGACUUCUGUGCAGCCACAGGCAGCCAACAAGUUGCUGCACACCGCUGCACACUGCUAUACACUGCUGCACACUACAGCAUGAUGCUGCACACUGCUGCGUGCCUCUGCUACACUGCUAAACACCACUGCAUGCUGCUGCACACUGCUUCCAAACCAGGAACCAGCUGUGGAGCUCACAUCACUGCUGCAAAGCCAUGCUGGGCCAUGGGUGCAGGACUGAGCCCCACAGACUGCGUUUCACUGACUCACACGGUAACGUUUUUCUCUUUAACAUUUCCAGUAACAUUGCAACACAUUUCACAGAAUGCUAUUUAAGGUCAUGCCCUUGGCAGUUUGGUACUAAAACCUCACAACUGUAAUUUUCCACUACUAAGAGCAAAGCGAUUCGGGAAAGGCUGUGAUGCAGGCAGGGAAGGGGUUGGGAGCACGCAGGUGCUUCCAUGGGGGAAAUGCCAUUCCCAGCACACGGGAAGCACUCGGUGCCAGGCAGAACAUGCUGGUACCUGAGCAGGGCACUGCCAGGGCACAGAGAAAACUGGGGAAUGUUUCUAUGUUGGGAUGUAACUCUGAAUGGAAAAGGUCUUCCAGAAGUUGGCUCCAGGCCCUCAUCCUUCCUCAGGUGCCAUAAUAGAGUUUUACGAGGUUCCCAGGCAAAGCGCCAAUAACGGAACGCCGGUUCCAGCAGAGCUGUUGGACCAUUCCAUUCCGCCCUGAGCCACAGCCCGGCUGCUGCAGAGGAUCUGUUCCUGGAAGGCACUGUUGGCACACGCAGCACACGGCUCUGCUGGCCCUGCUGCUCUCACUGCAGCCCCCCAUCGCAAACUGCUCUAUCCACCGCGGGCUGUAACCUCUAUCAUCACAUCAACCUGAUUUUCUGCUAAUAGGAAAAUGAAAUGUGUCUUUCUGGCUCCAUUUUGCAAAAGACAAAGAACUAAGAGUGUGUGUGACGUGACAAAACCUCCAUCUAACCUUCUCCUCAGGCAUCAUUAGUAACAAAUGCAUAUUGGGUGGUUUCACAACGACCUUGAGAGCAAGUGACACAUCUCAUCUACCAGGGUGCAGUUCCCCAGGCUUUUUGGAAAAGGAAAUCCUUAUUUGUAUGAACUUAUUGGAGAAAAAAAAAAAAGCACUAUUGUGUGCAUGCAGAGUUUUUUCCAAAACACCCAACACAGAAAUGCCCGCUGGUUUUGGUAGCUUACCUGCAAGCACUGUAUUUACUGUGAGCAAAUGAGGAAGGAAUAAAAUUCAACUUCGACCUCCUUUCAAUUUGCAAGUUAUGAAAAAUGCUUCUAGAAGGGAGCUAAUAAACGUGAUGGAUGUGCUCAGUGGUAAUUGAUCAUUUAUUUUGAAAAAAUCCUGGCAAA